rnacentral:rRNA from 1 species
AGAGUUUGAUCCUGGCUCAGGAUAAACGCUGGCGGCGUACCUAACACAUGCAAGUCGAACGAUCCCGCAAGGGAGAGUGGCGGAAGGGUGAGUAACACGUGGGAAUCUACCUCCUCGCAGGGAACAACCUCUCGAAAGAGAGGCUAAUACCCAAAAGGGUCAGAAAUGAUCAGAGUCGAAAGGCGUGAGGAGAGGAGCCCGCGGCCCAUCAGCUAGUUGGUGAGGUAAUGGCUUACCAAGGCUACGACGGGUAGGGGAUCUGAGAGGAUGUCCCCCACACUGGAACUGAAACACGGUCCAGACGCCUACGGGUGGCAGCAGUGAGGAAUAUUGGACAAUGGGCGAAAGCCCGAUCCAGCAACGCCGCGUGGAGGAUGAAGGCCUUCGGGUCGUAAACUUCUUUAGAGGGAGACGAGAAAGGACGGUAUCCCUAGAAUAAGCGACGGCAAACUACGUG